rnacentral:RNase_P_RNA from 1 species
CAGGGCAGGAGAGGUGGUUGCCCCGCACUUUCCAGAGAAAGUGCGGGGAGGAAAGUCCGAGCUCCACAGGGCAAGGCGCUCCAUAACACGGAGUCCCGCACUUUCUUAGAAAGUGCGGGAAGGAAAGUGCCACAGAGAGGGAAACCGCCCCGCACUUUCUGUGAAAGUGCUGGGUAAGGGUGAAAAGGUGAGGUAAGAGCUCACCAGUUGAGAUGGUGACAUCUCAAGCUUGGAAAACCCCGCCUGGAGCAAGGUCGAAUAGGUUCCGCCUUGAGAAGGGCCCCUUCGAAUUCCUGUCCCGACUUUGUCGGAAUCGGGGAGGCGGAAUGGGUUACGACCGCAAGAUUCCGAUAGUAAUAUCGGUGCUGAGAUGAAUGACCACCGAAAACAGAACUCGGCUUACAGCCUGCUCUGGCAA